rnacentral:rRNA from 1 species
AUUCCACGUUUUCCGCGCCGUAGCUAACGCAUUAAGUGCCCCGCCUGGGGAGUACGGCCGCAAGGCUAAAACUCAAAGGAAUUGACGGGGGCCCGCACAAGCGGCGGAGCAUGCGGAUUAAUUCGAUGCAACGCGAAGAACCUUACCAAGGCUUGACAUGAACCGGUAAUACCUGGAAACAGGUGCCCCGCUUGCGGUCGGUUUACAGGUGGUGCAUGGUUGUCGUCAGCUCGUGUCGUGAGAUGUUGGGUUAAGUCCCGCAACGAGCGCAACCCUCGUUCUAUGUUGCCAGCGGUUCGGCCGGGGACUCAUAGGAGACUGCCGGGGUCAACUCGGAGGAAGGUGGGGACGACGUCAAAUCAUCAUGCCCCUUAUGUCUUGGGCUUCACGCAUGCUACAAUGGCCGGUACAAAGGGUUGCGAUACUGUGAGGUGGAGCUAAUCCCAAAAAGCCGGUCUCAGUUCGGAUUGGGGUCUGCAACUCGACCCCAUGAAGUCGGAGUCGCUAGUAAUCGCAGAUCAGCAACGCUGCGGUGAAUACGUUCCCGGGCCUUGCACUCACCGCCCGU